AUACGGAGGAUCCGAGCGUUAUCCGGAUUUAUUGGGUUUAAAGGGUGCGCAGGCGGCCAUUUAAGUCAGCGGUUAAAUCGUGGGGCUCAACCCCAUUCUGCCGUUGAUACUGGGUGGCUUGAUUGCGGUCGAGGUUGGCGGAAUUCGUUGUGUAGCGGGGAAAUGCGUAGAUAUGACGAAGAACACCGAUUGCGUAGGCAGCUGACCAGACCGCAAAUGACGCUCAUGCACGAAAGUGCGGGGAUCGAACAGGAUUAGAUACCCUGGUAGUCCGCACAGUAAACGAUGAAUACUUGUUUUCGGCGAUAUAAUGUCGGAGGCAAAGCGAAAGCGAUAAGUAUUCCACCUGGGGAGUACGCCGGCAACGGUGAAACUCAAAUGAAUUGGCGGGG
rnacentral:rRNA from 1 species